UUGAUCCUGGCUCAGAGCGAACGCUGGCGGCAUGCUUAACACAUGCAAGUCGCACGAAGGUUUCGGCCUUAGUGGCGGACGGGUGAGUAACGCGUAGGAAUCUAUCCACGGGUGGGGGAUAACUUCGGGAAACUGAAGCUAAUACCGCAUGAUACCUGAGGGUCAAAGGCGCAAGUCGCCUGUGGAGGAGCCUGCGUUUGAUUAGCUUGUUGGUGGGGUAAUGGCCUACCAAGGCGAUGAUCGAUAGCUGGUUUGAGAGGAUGAUCAGCCACACUGGGACUGAGACACGGCCCAGACUCCUGCGGGAGGCAGCAGUGGGGAAUAUUGGACAAUGGGGGCAACCCUGAUCCAGCAAUGCCGCGUGUGUGAAGAAGGUUUUCGGAUUGUAAAGCACUUUCGGCGGGGACGAUGAUGACGGUACCCGCAGAAGAAGCCCCGGCUAACUUCGUGCCAGCAGCCGCGGUAAUACGAAGGGGGCUAGCGUUGCUCGGAAUGACUGGGCGUAAAGGGCGUGUAGGCGGUUUGUACAGUCAGAUGUGAAAUCCCCGGGCUUAACCUGGGAGCUGCAUUUGAUACGUGCAAACUAGAGUGUGAGAGAGGGUUGUGGAAUUCCCAGUGUAGAGGUGAAAUUCGUAGAUAUUGGGAAGAACACCGGUGGCGAAGGCGGCAACCUGGCUCAUAACUGACGCUGAGGCGCGAAAGCGUGGGGAGCAAACAGGAUUAGAU
rnacentral:rRNA from 1 species